GAGGAGGAGGCGGUGGCUGGAGGAAGGGGAGAGUCAGAAUAAUCACAGAGAGGUAGAGAACAAGUCUGUGAAAGAUCCUGGGAGAGAGAGAGAGAGAGAGAGAGAGAGGGAGAGAGAGACAGACUGGGUGUGCAUGUGUGCUUGUGGGCAGAUGCUAUAGACCUUCCUGCUUUCGCUAACCCCUGUACAUGUGUGUGACGGUGUGUGCAUGAGAGAGCGAGAGGGAGAGAGGACAGAAAGACGAAGAGAGGGGGGAAACACAGAGAGUGAGAGAAGGAAGAAAAGAAGGAGAAAAAAGGAGGAGAGCGAAAAGACAAAACCCAACCAUGCUGUGCUGUAUGAGAAGAACUAAGCAGGUAAUGUUCCCAUUUUCAUGGCAGGGUCUGUGGCUGGAGCUAUGGUGGAAGCUGACAGAUGCUUCCAUGACAUGAGAUGUGUAAAGGGCCAAUUCCCUUUGUGUUAUAUGCAUUGUGUAAGUGGGGAUAAUGGACUUAU